rnacentral:rRNA from 1 species
AGACCCGAAACCCGGUGAUCUAGCCAUGGGCAGGUUGAAGGUUGGGUAACACUAACUGGAGGACCGAACCGACUAAUGUUGAAAAAUUAGCGGAUGACCUGUGGCUGGGGGUGAAAGGCCAAUCAAACCGGGAGAUAGCUGGUUCUCCCCGAAAGCUAUUUAGGUAGCGCCUCGUGAAUUCAUCUCCGGGGGUAGAGCACUGUUUCGGCUAGGGGGCCAUCCCGGCUUACCAACCCGAUGCAAACUGCGAAUACCGGAGAAUGUUAUCACGGGAGACACACGGCGGGUGCUAACGUCCGUCGUGAAGAGGGAAACAACCCAGACCGCCAGCUAAGGUCCCAAAGUCAUGGUUAAGUGGGAAACGAUGUGGGAAGGCCCAGACAGCCAGGAUGUUGGCUUAGAAGCAGCCAUCAUUUAAAGAAAGCGUAAUAGCUCACUGGUCGAGUCGGCCUGCGCGGAAGAUGUAACGGGGCUAAACCAUGCACCGAAGCUGCGGCAGCGAACGUAUCACCCAAGACAACUUUACGGAGUUGACGAUUGACGGAGCGAAGCGACGUCAAAGCGUUCAUUAAAGUCGAGUUGGCUUAGGGAUACGUUCGUUGGGUAGGGGAGCGUUCUGUAAGCCUGUGAAGGUGUGUCGUGAGGCAUGCUGGAGGUAUCAGAAGUGCGAAUGCUGACAUAAGUAACGAUAAAGCGGGUGAAAAGCCCGCUCGCCGGAAGACCAAGGGUUCCUGUCCAACGUUAAUCGGGGCAGGGUGAGUCGACCCCUAAGGCGAGGCCGAAAGGCGUAGUCGAUGGGAAACGGGUUAAUAUUCCCGUACUUGGUGUUACUGCGAAGGGGGGACGGAGAAGGCUAUGUUGGCCGGGCGACGGUUGUCCCGGUUUAAGCGUGUAGGUGUGUGUUCCAGGUAAAUCCGGUUCACUUUAACACUGAGGCGUGACGACGAGGCACUACGGUGCUGAAGCAACAAAUGCCCUGCUUCCAGGAAAAGCCUCUAAGCAUCAGGUAACAUCAAAUCGUACCCCAAACCGACACAGGUGGUCAGGUAGAGAAUACCAAGGCGCUUGAGAGAACUCGGGUGAAGGAACUAGGCAAAAUGGUGCCGUAACUUCGGGAGAAGGCACGCUGACACGUAGGUGAAGUGAUUUACUCAUGGAGCUGAAGUCAGUCGAAGAUACCAGCUGGCUGCAACUGUUUAUUAAAAACACAGCACUGUGCAAACACGAAAGUGGACGUAUACGGUGUGACGCCUGCCCGGUGCCGGAAGGUUAAUUGAUGGGGUCAGCGCAAGCGAAGCUCCUGAUCGAAGCCCCGGUAAACGGCGGCCGUAACUAUAACGGUCCUAAGGUAGCGAAAUUCCUUGUCGGGUAAGUUCCGACCUGCACGAAUGGCGUAAUGAUGGCCAGGCUGUCUCCACCCGAGACUCAGUGAAAUUGAACUCGCUGUGAAGAUGCAGUGUACCCGCGGCAAGACGGAAAGACCCCGUGAACCUUUACUAUAGCUUGACACUGAACAUUGAGCCUUGAUGUGUAGGAUAGGUGGGAGGCUUUGAAGUGUGGACGCCAGUCUGCAUGGAGCCGACCUUGAAAUACCACCCUUUAAUGUUUGAUGUUCUAACGUGGACCCGUAA